AAGGGCUUAGUUUAGUUAAAGCGUCUGAUUUGCAUUCAGUUGAUGUAAGGUGAUUAUCUUGCAGUCCUUA
rfam:Loxodonta africana unplaced genomic scaffold scaffold_4, whole genome shotgun sequence.